UACGGAGGGUGCGAGCGUUAUCCGGAUUCACUGGGUUUAAAGGGUGCGUAGGUGGGAAUGUAAGUCAGUGGUGAAAUCUCUGAGCUUAACUCAGAAACUGCCAUUGAUACUAUGUUUCUUGAAUUUUCUGGAGGUCAGCGGAAUAUGUCAUGUAGCGGUGAAAUGCUUAGAUAUGACAUAGAACACCAAUUGCGAAGGCAGCUGGCUACAGGGAUAUUGACACUGAGGCACGAAAGCGUGGGUAGCAAACAGG
rnacentral:rRNA from 1 species